rnacentral:rRNA from 1 species
GACGAACGCUGGCGGCGUGCUUAACACAUGCAAGUCGAACGAAGUGGAGAACGGGUGAGUAACGCGUAAGCAACAUGCCCUUCAGAGGGGGACAACAGUUGGAAACGACUGCUAAUACCGCAUACUGAAGGAGGGGAUUGCGUCUGAUUAGCUAGUUGGAGGGGUAACGGCCCACCAAGGCGAUGAUCAGUAGCCGGUCUGGGAGGAGGGACGGCCACAUUGGGACUUGGACACGGCCCCGACUCCUACGGGACGCAGCAGUGGGGAAUCUUCCGCAAUGGACGAAAGUCUGACGGAGCAACGCCGCGUGAUUGAUGGCGGCCUUCGGGUUGUAAAGCUCUGUUAAUCGGGACGCGGUACCGGAAUAGAAAGCCACGGCUAACUACGUGCCAGCCGCCGCGGUAAUAC